UUAUUAAUUUCUUUUCAUUUUAUUUAUACAAAAAUUUGAAAAGUGCAUUGAUGUGGCUAUAAUUAAUAUAAUUUCUAAAUUACUCUACUAAAUAUGUUGUUAAUGGCGGCUAAUGACCAAUUUUACGGCGAAGUACAAGAUGGUGUUAUCAAUGAAAUAUUAUUACCGAGCUAAGCUUAGUUAGCUUAAUUAGUUUCUGAUCUGUACAAUCUUCAUUGAAGUCUAACGAGCAGCUUUCGACUAUAGCGGAAAAAUUCGUGAAAAAAGACCCGGUUUUCAUCAGG